AUAAAAUCCCAUUGAGGAGAUUUCAUGGAGAACCAUUAUAAUAAGUAAAUUUAUUAUCAAUGAAUAUUAUAGUUGUAAUGCUAUAUAUUGAUAUCUAAAUUUUUAAAAAUGUAUUAUACUUUAAAUAGGGUUUCAAUUAGAUGCAUACAUACGCACUCUAUAAGAAGUACAAUUGUACAUGUAGCAAGCUCUCAUUUAGAGUUUAUGGGGCCCACAAUACAGUUUCUCAAAUGGCGACUUAUCACACGAGCAAUCGUACAUUCGAGUCAUGUUUGAUUUUAAAUGUGCCCCGGCUCUAUCAAAAUCUUUGCUACGUCCCUGCGUACAGUACAUAGCUAUUUAGCUAAAGGACCCAUCCCUUACUAAUAUAUCGUGCUUGAGAAAAUAGCUAUUUAGCUAAUGCACCCCUUAUUAGAAGAUCUCUCAAAUCUCUCAAAUUACUUCAUUUGUAGAUCUCAAAAUAUAAAUGCUAUCAAAAUAAUUAAUGACUUGGUAUUUAUAAACAAAGAUUAUACGUACAUUUAAUCCUUGUCCUCAAAAGUCUUUGAAAAAAGCCGACUAAAAUCAAUAAUUUUGACAAAUUUAAGCGGCAUCUAAAAAACCACCACAUUUUUCUCCAUGCAUAUAUAUGUCAAACGAAAACAUGCCACCGAUUUUGCUUUUUGAAAUUGGCAAGCCAUUAUUUGAUUUUCAACAAUUCCACCGAUUUUGCUUUUUGAAAUUGGCAAGCCAUUAUUUGACUUUCCUUACGCAUAUCUAACCUUAGCAGCUAUUACGUGGACCUUUGUGAAGACAUGCAUUGUCAUUGCUUAAAAGGCUAGGUAACCGGGUACAAGUGGAUGGGCAUCCACUAAAUAAGUCAUAACAGAAAUGUCCACUAGUGAGUAUUUCUUCAAUAUAUACAUAAUAGUGCUGUCUUGUGUCAACCUAGAAAACAAAAAUUCAGGCAUCUGAUUUGAAUGUUUUAGCGGUGCUGAAACUGAACACGCCUGAAUAAAAAUCGAUUAAAACAAACAUUGUGAUAUUAAUUAGUUUAAUUAAUUAUUUUAUGAAACUUCAAAACCAUUGGUGUAGAAUUUUUCAUGGUUAAUUCUGUGAGGAAAAUUAUUUGGUGUGGGGUGCAGCUAUCAUGUUGCAGUGACUGACGCACAUCCCACACUAAUAUCUACAGCCGAAACUCAAAAUCAAAGCUAAACCUUCAAGAAAAGUAUGCAAGGACAAUAUCCAUUUUAUUGUGAAUCUGAUUUAGGAAGUGUCUAGAUAUGCAUGAAAAUAAUAUAAAUGAUAUGAAGUCAAAAGAGCCGGAUCAUAAUGAAUAAAUAAACAAAUAAAAAAGUUUGCGGAGGGCAUUCAAUUUACAUGCUAGUAUUCAAUUGCUUCAAUUAUAAGAAUGAAUUGAUUACAAAUGGUAAUGGUUAUUUACACGAAAUAUUUGAGAAGCUUUGAGUAGUGGAAGGAUUUUCCAUUAACAUUACACUUUUUAAUUUAUAGAGUGCGAAUGAAAUACGCGACUAAAGUUAAUUGGUUUAUUCUGCAACAUGACAAGCCAACAGAUCCUUCCUUCCCAAAUCAG
rnacentral:lncRNA from 1 species